rnacentral:rRNA from 1 species
CACGUAAACAACCUGCCUUCAGGAUGGGGACAACAGACGGAAACGACUGCUAAUACCGAAUAAGUUCCAAGAGCCGCAUGGCCCAUGGAAGAAAAGGUGGCCUCUACCUGUAAGCUAUCGCCUGAAGAGGGGUCUGCGUCUGAUUAGCUGGUUGGAGGGGUAACGGCCCACCAAGGCGACGAUCAGUAGCCGGUCUGAGAGGAUGAACGGCCACACUGGAACUGAGACACGGUCCAGACUCCUACGGGAGGCAGCAUG